UCGUGUUCUUUUCCACAAUUAAUCGACGAUGGACGAGUCUUCUUCUCCAAUCUCUGAUACAGCUAUUGAGUUUGUUACCUUCAAUCCACGUUAAGAAUCACUCUGUAAAUCUUCGACCUGGCGUUCUGUCUUCUCUUCAGAUAAACAGAAACGUUUCUGAUUCAUCCUUUUAUCGUGCUCAACUCCAUCAUCCCUCUUCUAGCACCAUCUGUAAUUGAAUGCAUCUUAUUCUUCUGCAAGGCAGUGUCUCUGUUCCUAUAAAAGGC
rnacentral:lncRNA from 1 species